CGUCUCUCGAUUUCAUUCCAUAUUCACUCAUUUUCUCGCAUAAACAUUUAUUGUCUAUCUUUGUUCUUUUCUCGCUCACAUUCUUUUACAACUAAAAUUUUCAAUUUGAUUUGGUCUUCAUGGACUUGUUCCGGUGUGAGCGGCGCUAAGGUGAUUUUCCUUCCUUGAUGCUUGAAGGAACACCUAUUGGUAUGUCCAUCAUGAGUGACAUUUCUAUCCAAUUGCCAUG
rnacentral:lncRNA from 1 species